CCUACGGGAGGCAGCAGUGGGGAAUUUUGGACAAUGGGCGCAAGCCUGAUCCAGCAAUGCCGCGUGAGUGAAGAAGGCCCUCGGGUUGUAAAGCUCUUUUGUCAGGGAAGAAAAGGGUGCGGCUAAUAUCUGCGCCUCAUGACGGUACCUGAAGAAUAAGCACCGGCUAACUACGUGCCAGCAGCCGCGGUAAUACGUAGGGUGCAAGCGUUAAUCGGAAUUACUGGGCGUAAAGCGUGCGCAGGCGGUUUUGUAAGACUGUCGUGAAAUCCCCGGGCUCAACCUGGGAAUGGCGAUGGUGACUGCAAGGCUAGAGUUUGGCAGAGGGGGGUAGAAUUCCACGUGUAGCAGUGAAAUGCGUAGAUAUGUGGAGGAACACCGAUGGCGAAGGCAGCCCCCUGGGUCAAAACUGACGCUCAUGCACGAAAGCGUGGGGAGCAAACAGGAUUAGAUACCCUGGUAGUCCACGCCCUAAACGAUGUCUACUAGUUGUCGGGUCUUAAUUGACUUGGUAACGCAGCUAACGCGUGAAGUAGACCGCCUGGGGAGUACGGUCGCAAGNUUAAAACGUCAAAUGAAUUGACGG
rnacentral:rRNA from 1 species